rnacentral:rRNA from 1 species
AGAGUUUGAUCCUGGCUCAGAAUAAAUGCUAUCGGUAUGCUUAACACAUGCAAGUUAAAUGUAUUUAAAACAUAGCGGACGGGUGAGUAACACGUGAAUUAUCUACCUUUUAAUUCAGAAUAAUUAUUUUUAUAAAAAUACUGAAUAAAUAAAUUAAAGUUUUUAACGUUAAAAGAUGAGUUUGCGUAAGAUUAUGGUAGUUGGUAGUUUAAAAGACCUACCAAGCCUUUUAUCUUUAGCUGGUUUGAAAGAACGAUCAGCCACAUUGGAACUGAGACACGGCCCAAACUUUUUUAAAGGCAGCAGUGGGGAAUUUUGGACAAUGAGCGAAAGCUUGAUCCAGUAAUACCGAGUGAGUGAAGAAGGCUAAUUAGGUUGUAAAGCUCUUUCAUUAAGGAGGAAAAUGACAGUACUUAAAAAAGAAGUUCCGGCUAAUACCCGUGCCAGCAGCCGCGGUAAUACGGGAGGAGCGAGCAUUAUUCGGAAUGAUUAGGCGUAAAGAGUUUGUAGGUGGUUUUUUAAGUUGAAAGAAACAAAUUAAAGCUCAACUUUAUACAUUUUUUCAAAACUGAUAAACUAGAGUAUAAAUAGAGGAUAAUGGAAUUUCUAUUGGAGUGAUAAAAUACGUUGAUAAUAGAAGGAAGGCCUAUGGCGAAGGCAAUUAUCUGGGUAUAUACUGACACUGAGAAACGAAAGCUUGGGUAGCGAACGGGAUUAGAUACCCCGGUAGUCCAUGCCGUAAACGAUGAGUGCUAAUAUUUAGAAUUUUUAGAUAUAACAGCUAACGCGUUAAGCACUCCGCCUGAAAAGUAUAAUCGCAAGAUUGAAAUUCAAAGGAAUUGACGGGAGUCUACACAAGCGGUGGAGCAUGUGGUUUAAUUCGAUAAUACGCGCAAAACCUUACCAACUCUUGCUAAUUUUUAUAUAAAAUUUUAUAUAAAAAACAGGUGUUGCAUGGCUGUCGUCAGCUCGUGUUGUGAAAUGUUUGGUUAAAUCCUUUAACGAGCGCAACCCCUAUUGUUAGUUGC